AGAGUUUGAUCCUGGCUCAGGAUGAACGCUGACAGAAUGCUUAACACAUGCAAGUCGACUGGAAUUCACCUUCGGGUGAUAGUACGGUGGCGGACGGGUGAGUAACGCGUAAAGAACUUGCCCUCUAGACUGGGACAACUGUUGGAAACGACAGCUAAUACCGGAUAUUAUGAGAGCCUCGCAUGGGGAACUCAUGAAAGCUAUAUGCGCUAGAGGAGAGCUUUGCGUGCCAUUAGCUAGUUGGUGGGGUAACGGCCCACCAAGGCGACGAUGGCUAGCCGGCCUGAGAGGGUGAUCGGCCACAAGGGGACUGAGACACGGCCCUUACUCCUACGGGAGGCAGCAGUGGGGAAUAUUGGACAAUGGACCAAAAGUCUGAUCCAGCAAUUCUGUGUGCACGAUGAAGGUCUUCGGAUCGUAAAGUGCUUUCAGGUGGGAAGAAAAAAAUGACGGUACCACCAGAAGAAGCGACGGCUAAAUACGUGCCAGCAGCCGCGGUAAUACGUAUGUCGCAAGCGUUAUCCGGAAUUAUUGGGCGUAAAGCGCGUCUAGGCGGCCUUUUAAGUCUGAUGUGAAAAUGCGGGGCUCAACUCCGUAUUGCGUUGGAAACUGGAAGGCUAGAGCAUCAGAGAGGUGGGCGGAACUACAAGUGUAGAGGUGAAAUUCGUAGAUAUUUGUAGGAAUGCCGAUUGGGAAGCCAGCUCACUGGAUGAAAUACUGACGCUGAAGCGCGAAAGCGUGGGGAGCAAACGGGAUUAGAUACCCCGGGUAGUCCACGCCGUAAACGAUGAUCACUAAGUGUGGGGGGUCGAACCUCCGUGCUC
rnacentral:rRNA from 1 species